rnacentral:rRNA from 1 species
ACAAGUAGCGGGGCAUGUGGUUUAAUUCGAAGCAACGCGAAGAACCUUACCUAAGCUUGACAUCCCAAUGACAUCGCCUUAAUCGGAGAGUUCCCUUCGGGGACAUUGGUGACAGGUGGUGCAUGGUGGUCGUCAGCUCGUGUCGUGAGAUGUUGGGUUAAGUCCCGCAACGAGCGCAACCCUUGUCUUUAGUUGCCAUCAUU